UUCCCAGCAACUCCUAUCCUUACCUUUUCGCGGUACCGGCCGGAAACUAUGAGCAACCUUAGGGAAGAUCGGGUAACCAACCCCGGUGGGAACUUUGGUCGUAGGCUGACAGGGAAGG
rnacentral:ribozyme from 1 species